GAGUUUGAUUCUGGCUCAGAACGAACGCUGGCGGCAGGCCUAAGACAUGCAAGUCGUACGAGAAAGCCCUUUCGGGGGUGAGUAGAGUGGCGAACGGGUUAGUAACGCGUGGGAACAUACACAGCACAGGGGGAUAACCAUUGGAAACGAUGGCUAAUACCGCAUACGCCCUAUGGGGGAAAGAUUUAUCGGUGUUGGAUUGGCCCGCGUUAGAUUAGCUAGUUGGUGGGGUAAUUGCCUACCAAGGCGACGAUUUAUAGCUGGUUUGAGAGGAUGAUCAGCAACACUGGAACUGAGACACGGUCCAGACUCCUACGGGAGGCAGCAGUCGGGAAUAUUGUGCAAUGGGGGCAACCCUGACACAGCCAUGCCGCGUGAGUGAAGAAGGCCUUAGGGUUGUAAAGCUCUUUCAGAUGUGAGGAUGAUGACGAUAGCAUCACAAGAAGCUCCGGCUAACUUCGUGCCAGCAGCCGCGGUAAUACGAAGGGAGCAAGCGUUGUUCGGAAUUACUGGGCGUAAAGGGCGUGUAGGCGGAUUAUCAAGUUAGGGGUGAAAUCCCGGGGCUCAACCUCGGCACUGCCUUUAAGACUGAUAAUCUAGAGUAUGUGAGGGGAUAAUGGAAUACCUAGUGUAGAGGUGAAAUUCGUAGAUAUUAGGUGGAACACCAGUGGCGAAGGCGAUUAUCUGGCACAUUACUGACGCUGAGGCGCGAAAGCGUGGGGAGCAAACGGGAUUAGAUACCCCGGUAGUCCACGCCGUAAACGAUGUAUACUAGUUGUCGGGCAUUGGUUCGGUGACGCAGCUAACGCAUUAAGUAUACCGCCUGGGGAGUACGGUCGCAAGAUUAAAACUCAAAGAAAUUGACGGGGACC
rnacentral:rRNA from 1 species